ensembl:lncRNA
GUGUAAUUGAGUAUUGUGUAGGUGUGUAUUGUGUAAUUGAGUAUUGUGUAAAUGAGUAUUGUGUAGGUGUGUAUUGUGUAAAUGAGUAUUGUGUAGGUGUGUAUUGUGUAAAUGAGUAUUGUGUAGGUGUGUAUUGUGUAAUUGAGUUGUGUUGGUGUGUAUUGUGUAAAUGAGUAUUGUGUAGGUGUGUAUUGUGUAAUUGAGUAUUGUGUAGAUUUGUAUUGUGUUUUCAAAUAUUGCUUAGUUGAGUGUUCUGUAGGUGUGUAUUGUGUAAUUGAGUUCUGUAGGUGUGUAUUGUGUAAUUGAGUAUUGUGUUGGUGUAUUGUUUAGUUGUCGAGUACUGUGUAGUUGUGUGUUGUGUCCGAGUAUUGUGUAAUUAAAUAUUUUGUAGGUGUGUAUUGUGUUGUCGAGUAUUGCUUAGUGGAGUAUUGUGUGGUUUUGUAUCGUGUUCUCGAGCAAUUGUGUAAUGGAUUAUUGCAUAGUUGAGUGCUGUGU